rnacentral:tRNA from 1 species
GAGACAGUGGCUCAGUGGUUAGAGCACUGGCUGCUCUUCCAGAGGUCCUGAGUUCAAUUCCCAGCAACCACA